AGAACAUCUAACUUGCAAGGUAAUAGAUUCGAUCUAUUGUUUAUUACAUACAUUAGAUGUAACAUAGAAAUAUGUUGACAUGAUCAAUAUGUAGUUCAUUCUCUAUAUGUUUUAAUUUUUGAUUUAAUAUUAUGUAAUAAUCAUGUAAUAGAAUCUUAGAUCUAAGAAUUUUUUAAAUUUUAUAAAAUAAAUUUUGAUUUAUUUUAGUCUUCUGCUGCA
rnacentral:lncRNA from 1 species